rnacentral:rRNA from 1 species
AUUGAACGCUGGCGGCAUGCCUUACACAUGCAAGUCGAACGGCAGCAUGAUCUAGCUUGCUAGAUUGAUGGCGAGUGGCGAACGGGUGAGUAAUACAUCGGAACGUGCCCUGUAGUGGGGGAUAACUAGUCGAAAGAUUAGCUAAUACCGCAUACGACCUGAGGGUGAAAGUGGGGGACCGCAAGGCCUCAUGCUAUAGGAGCGGCCGAUGUCUGAUUAGCUAGUUGGUGAGGUAAAGGCUCACCAAGGCGACGAUCAGUAGCUGGUCUGAGAGGACGAUCAGCCACACUGGGACUGAGACACGGCCCAGACUCCUACGGGAGGCAGCAGUGGAGAAUUUUGGACAAUGGGCGAAAGACUGCUCCAGCAAUGCCGCGUGUGUGAAGAAGGCCUUCGGGUUGUAAAGCACUUUUGUCCGGAAAGAAAUGGCUCUGGUUAAUACCUGGGGUCGAUGACGGUACCGGAAGAAUAAGGACCGGCUAACUACGUG